rnacentral:rRNA from 1 species
AUGAACGCUAGCGGAGGCUUAACACAUGCAAGUCGAGGGGCAGCACGGGUAGCAAUACCUGGUGGCGACCGGCGCAAGGGUGCGUAACGCGUGAGCAACAUGCCCUAUACAGGGGGAUAAUCCAGGGAAACUUGGUCUAAUAUCCCAUAGCAUUUAGAGGAGGCAUCUUCACUAAAUUAAAGCUUCGGUGGUAUAGGAUUGGCUCGCGUGACAUUAGCUAGAUGGUGAGGUAACGGCCCACCAUGGCUAUGAUGUCUAGGGGUUCUGAGAGGAAGACCCCCCACACUGGGACUGAGACACGGCCCAGACUCCUACGGGAGGCAGCAGUGAGGAAUAUUGGACAAUGGAUGGAAAUCUGAUCCAGCCAUGCCGCGUGCAGGAAGACGGCCCUAUGGGUUGUAAACUGCUUUUAUAUGGGAGCAAUAAGGUUUACGAGUAGACCGAUGAGAGUACCAUAUGAAUAAGCAUCGGCUAACUCCGUG